rnacentral:tRNA from 1 species
GGAGGGAUGCGUGAGUGGUUGAAACGGAUAGUCUUGAAAACUAUUAGGCUCGCAAGAGUCUCGAGGGUUCGAAUCCCUCUCCCUCCUCCA